rnacentral:rRNA from 1 species
UAACACAUGCAAGUCGAGGGGCAGCAUGUUCUUAGCUUGCUAAGGCCGAUGGCGGCCGGCGCACGGGUGAGUAACACGUAUCCAACCUGCCGUCUACUCUUGGACAGCCUUCUGAAAGGAAGAUUAAUACAAGAUGGCAUCAUGAGUCCGCAUGUUCACAUGAUUAAAGGUAUUCCGGUAGACGAUGGGGAUGCGUUCCAUUAGAUAGUAGGCGGGGUAACGGCCCACCUAGUCUUCGAUGGAUAGGGGUUCUGAGAGGAAGGUCCCCCACAUUGGAACUGAGACACGGUCCAAACUCCUACGGGAGGCAGCAGUGAGGAAUAUUGGUCAAUGGGCGAGAGCCUGAACCAGCCAAGUAGCGUGAAGGAUGACUGCCCUAUGGGUUGUAAACUUCUUUUAUAAAGGAAUAAAGUCGGGUAUGGAUACCCGUUUGCAUGUACUUUAUGAAUAAGGAUCGGCUAACUCCGUGCCAGCAGCCGCGGUAAUACGGAGGAUCCGAGCGUUAUCCGGAUUUAUUGGGUUUAAAGGGAGCGUAGAUGGAUGUUUAAGUCAGUUGUGAAAGUUUGCGGCUCAACCGUAAAAUUGCAGUUGAUACUGGAUAUCUUGAGUGCAGUUGAGGCAGGCGGAAUUCGUGGUGUAGCGGUGAAAUGCUUAGAUAUCACGAAGAACUCCGAUUGCGAAGGCAGCCUGCUAAGCUGCAACUGACAUUGAGGCUCGAAAGUGUGGGUAUCAAACAGGAUUAGAUACCCUGGUAGUCCACACGGUAAACGAUGAAUACUCGCUGUUUGCGAUAUACUGCAAGCGGCCAAGCGAAAGCGUUAAGUAUUCCACCUGGGGAGUACGCCGGCAACGGUGAAACUCAAAGGAAUUGACGGGGGCCCGCACAAGCGGAGGAACAUGUGGUUUAAUUCGAUGAUACGCGAGGAACCUUACCCGGGCUUAAAUUGCAGAUGAAUUACGGUGAAAGCCGUAAGCCGCAAGGCAUCUGUGAAGGUGCUGCAUGGUUGUCGUCAGCUCGUGCCGUGAGGUGUCGGCUUAAGUGCCAUAACGAGCGCAACCCUUGUUGUCAGUUACUAACAGGUUCCGCUGAGGACUCUGACAAGACUGCCAUCGUAAGAUGUGAGGAAGGUGGGGAUGACGUCAAAUCAGCACGGCCCUUACGUCCGGGGCUACACACGUGUUACAAUGGGGGGUACAGAGGGCCGCUACCACGCGAGUGGAUGCCAAUCCCCAAAACCUCUCUCAGUUCGGACUGGAGUCUGCAACCCGACUCCACGAAGCUGGAUUCGCUAGUAAUCGCGCAUCAGCCACGGCGCGGUGAAUACGUUCCCGGGCCUUGUACACACCGCCCGUCAAGCCAUGGGAGCCGGGGGUACCUGAAGUGCGUAACCGCGAGGAGCGCCCUAGGGUAAAACUGGUGACUGGGGCUAA